UUCAAGGAGCGGCAAUGUUUAGAGAGACUGGUGAAAUGUAAUGAAAUGCUCAACUUACGCCCAAGAUUGACUCUAAUUCUUCACAUAAAGUGAACCAUGUUCUCUUUCCCAAAAAUCUUGGUUUCGCUAGGAGUGCAGUAAAGGGAAUGUUGGAAGAAGUGUAGAUAUCAUGGCCACAGGCCAGUGGGCUAGAACCUUGAAGCCUGGCAAGGAUUAUGAGACUGGAAACUCCCAUUGAGACUACCAAAUGAAGAGAAAGUUUCAGACUGUUUAACUCGGACUAACGGAAAAGAAGCAAAUUA